rnacentral:rRNA from 1 species
AUUGAACGCUGGCGGCAGGCCUAACACAUGCAAGUCGAACGAGUGGCGGACGGGUGAGUAAUGUAUGGGCAACUGCCUGAUGGAGGGGGAAAAUUACGGGAAACGGUAGCUAAUACCGCAUACCAUCGGAUGUGCCCAGAUGGGAUGAGCUAGUAGGUGUGGUAAAGGCUCACCUAGGCGACGAUCCCUAGCUGGUCUGAGAGGAUGACCAGCCACACUGGAACUGAGACACGGGCCAGACUCCUACGGGAGGCAGCAGUGGGGAAUAUUGCACAAUGGGCGCAAGCCUGAGGCAGCCAUGCCGCGUGUAUGAAGAAGGCCUUCGGGUUGUAAAGUACUUUCAGCGGGGAGGCGUUACCCGCAGAAGAAGCACCGGCUAACUCCGUGCCAGCAGCCGCGGUAAUUC